rnacentral:lncRNA from 1 species
UCCAAUUUUCUUGCGACAGUGAUAAAGCAACCCUAAAACGGUGCCUAAACUAGAAACGGUCCUAAACUGAAGGGCCAGUCACAAAAAUGGUGCCUCGUUGCAAGAUUCCCAUAUAGUAAAGAGAAGGCAAGCACAAACAUGAACUUCAACUUGAUUUUUCACCUACUGUUCUUAUUUUUUUUUUAUUUUUUUUUAAUGAUUUGUGCCAUUGACAUUUAAUUUAUUUUUAAUUUUAAUUGAAAAUAUAUUAAGAAAUUAAUUACAAUCGGGUAAGGUCAAUUUCUUAAUAAAAUCUGAAGUUAAUAUAUCAUAAAU